GGUCUGACCUCAUGAGGAAAUUACUAUGCAGUGAUUUUCUCCAAAAUUACUGUGCUUAAAUUGCUCUGAAAAAGCAGAUAAUAACAUCAGUGCCAAGAGACACUUCAUUUCCCAUGAUGCUUUGCAUAGGGAAGCAAGGUGAUGACGUCACCACAACAACCAGCUCAAAAACUAUAAGUUUCAGUGAAAAACGAAACUUAACUGUUCUUAUGCCUAGUUCACUGGCUGUAAAGGACGCUCAUUGCUGCUGCUCUGAUCAACGUGAGCAGAUCAAACACUGAACGCUGAAAAGCUGGGUUGGAAACCCAGCAAGCAAAUCUACUUUUUCUGCAUUCCUCCAGCUGAGGUGAAGGAAACGAUCGCUGACUGAUAAACUCCAACUCCAUUAGGACCUGACUGGGAACGAGCGGAACCCAUCCCGCUCUCAGAGACGCUAAACAUUGGUGGUGACAGCGGUCACGGAGGCUAAAGACACGGCGUCCGGUUCCAGUGUCCCAGCCAGACGAAUGGCCUUCUUGUCCAGAUCUUCCAUUUCCAGAAUCGCUGGCUCAUCUGCACACAUCACCCAGAUUAGACAUGAAUCACUUUUGCUUCCUCAUCAGAAUUGUAUUUUUGUUGGAACACGUCCACAGAGUCGGACAGGAACGACGUACGAUAAUUAGGUUUUACCUCCUCUCUUGUGGUUGUCCUUAGAGCUCUUGAUCUUGCCGAGCUUCAUGGCUGAGAAAACUCCCUUCCCAGUUCUGUUGGAGAGAAAUAAGAUCAUGAAAAUGAUCCAUCACAGCUGAGCUACCUUCAUAUAAACCUGGGUUCUACUUCACCACUUAAAGACGUAGAGCAGUGUUACAAAAUUAUUGGGUCAUCUCUCUUGUUUUUACUUAUUUCUCCUAAUGACAUGUUUUUCUACUUUUUUUAAAAAGUAACAACAGAUAGGUAUUAAAAUUUUAAGCUGGAGUUUUAACAUUGAUAUCAGUGAUUGCUGAGUUAGAAACUUGACCAGUUUCAUGUUUGACACCACUCUGCUGCCCUCUGAUGACCAAAAACCACACUUGAUAGUUUUGUGGAGUGGGUAGGUGCCCUACGGGCUGAUCUUUAUUAGCUUUACACUUGUUAGCGUUUAUGCUAGCAGUUAGCUUAUUCAGUUUGCCAAUCGUCAAUGAAAAGCACAAGAAGAAGAAGAAAAACAAAGAAAUUUGCGUCUUUGUUGGCAUCAUGGCGGAGCCUGGAAGUAAAAGUAAGAAAGUAUUGUUUUUGGAGGCAAAGCAAAGAACUAAAACCAUAGUGAACAUUGGCGCGGCCUAUACUAGUUUGCUAUGCUAUGUUUGACGAAGCUAAAGGAGGCUACUAAAUCACGGACUGAUGGUGACCUGGCUUUGUUGCUACAGAACUUGUAAGUAUUAAUAUUUUAUCUCCAACAGGGUGAAUCUUUUUACUUGUUUAUUUUAGUUUGAGUUGGCUCAUGUCAGUGUUGGCUUGUUGUUAGCAUUAGCUACAGCAGGCUGCAGCAGGGUUGUUUACAACAGUUUUAAUUCCACAUUCAACCAGUAGGGCAGAGGAGCAGGAAACUGCUCUGUGUUACUUUAAGAUCUAAAAAGAAAAUGUAAUCUGAGGUUUCUGAAGAUCUUUUAAGUUUUUCGCUGAAUUUUGGCUGCUUUUCCCACUGAAUUUAUUCCUGCACUUGUAUAUUUCCUUUUAAUCCACUCAACUCUGACCCAACUAUUAUUCAGCCAAAAAAAAAAAGGCAUCUAAACUCAAGAAAUCUGUGUUGUGUCACAAAACAGGAAACUUCAUUAUUCAGGCUUAAGGUACAUUAUUUCCAGCAGCCUGUCACAAAGACACAACCUGUUUCAAUUUCUUUAUGAAAAACAACAAAAUGGACACAUUUUGAGAUGUAAAAUCGUAUUUUAACAUCAGCUGGUGACUUUUCCAGAUUUAUAAAGAGUGGCUUGUGGAUAUGAAUCAUAAGCGUUUCUGUUGCAGUUUAUUUUGGUGCUGAAACAAAUUUUGAUGCAUUCCAAGUUUUUAUUUACAUUAUAAAGUAUAAACUGCAAAAGGUAUCAUGAACUAAGUAACAAAAUGGGUUCAAUGACAAAUACUGAAUAACCUUUAAAUGCAUUACAAAAUUAUAGUAAAGACAAUAUCAGGAGAUUAUAAACAUGUGAGGAGAAACUGUUAAAAUGAUGUUAGGGUGCAUUAUAUUUUUGCACAGUAGCAAAAUGCCCCACAACACCCUGAUCUGUUUCUAAAUGCAUCAGUAUUACCGAUAAGUUGUGUGAACAUUUGUUUCCAGGUGAGUUAUCUAUCACACCCCCACCAACAAAUUCUCCAAACCCUCAAUCACAAAACAGGAGUAUCCGGUGUCUCCACAUUGAUGUUAUCUGGAUCAUGUAUCAACACAACGACAAAGACAGGGUGAUGUCAUCAGCAGCACGACAAAUAAGGGGCUUUAAUUAUUAAAAAUGAGCGAGACCAUCCAGUUUGCUGCAGAUAUGGAUACAUGUCAGGAAAUUAAUGAACAGGAGGGGUUUUUGUUUGUUUCCUCAGGCAUUCAGAUAGGAGCGUAUCAGAGUUCAGCCAUUUCUCCAAAGACACCCGCCCCCUGUCUCGUUUUAAUACAGAAUAAACAGAACUAAAGAGUUUAGGGGAAAUUAAAAACAAAAAUCUAUAGAUUCAUGAUGGAAAAUAAAAAUCUAUCAGCUCCCAGCAUCUUCUCAGAAUAACAUCUUGUAUCAGUUCAUGGAAAAUCUGUGCAAUGCACAGAUAUGUAUUCACAGGCUGCAGGCAGAUCAUGUCUGAGUUAAAAGGACUGGUUUGUUUCCGGAUGUAAACAUAGAGAAAAUGUAAAAUCCUUCAACUGACUGACCAUAAAUAAAAACGAGCAAUAAUCAAAGUUUGCACAAUCUAUAACAGUUAUCAAGUAACCACUUGUUCAGGUCCUUUAAAUGUUUUGCUGCUUUUUUACAUACAAUAUGUAUAUUUUUCUUUUAAGUGUUAAAAGUUUGGGAUAAAAUUUGCUUUACUUGAGAAGAUUCACAAGUAGUAAAAAUCAGAACAUUUUCUUUUCGCGUCUUUCAAAUUAAAGUAUGACAUAACAGAAAAUAUGUGCAAAAAUACGUUUCAUACGUACCACAUCAAAAACACCACUGAUCCUAAUCAACUCCACAGAUUACAGCAAAUCCUCCACCGUGCUUCUUCUACUUUAUGAUAACGUGUAAAUAUGCAGCAAAAAGAAGAAUCCAGUGCAACAAAUGACACGCUUGCAGAAAACAGAAACAGUUGACAGAUAUGAGCACAAGACAGAGGAGAGGAGAGACUAACAGGUGGAUGGAGGUGGUGGGAGUUGUAACAAGAGAGGGAGGCUAUUUCUUUACCUAUAGAAAGGAUCUUUGCAGAUUUGACACAAAACACACAUCGAAAUCCUCAAAUGUUGAUUUUCUGUUCUUUACUUUAUCUGAUUUCUACGGCAGAUGCUUCAAAAUAUAUUUUAUUUGGUCUCUUACGUUUCAGAGCUUUUUAAUGUGUUUAUUAAAUAAAGCUUUGAUUGAU